UACGUAGGGACCAAGCGUUGUUCGGAUUUACUGGGCGUAAAGGGCGCGUAGGCGGCGCGGUAAGUCACUUGUGAAAUCUCUGAGCUUAACUCAGAACGGCCAAGUGAUACUGCAGUGCUAGAGUGUGGAAGGGGCAAUCGGAAUUCUUGGUGUAGCGGUGAAAUGCGUAGAUAUCAAGAGGAACACCUGCGGCGAAGGCGGGUUGCUGGGCUGACACUGACGUGAGGCGCGAAAGCUAGGGUAGCAAACGGG
rnacentral:rRNA from 1 species